rnacentral:rRNA from 1 species
GAUGAACGCUGGCGGCGUGCUUAACACAUGCAAGUCGAACGGUGAAGCAGAGCUUGCUCUGUGGAUCAGUGGCGAACGGGUGAGUAACACGUGAGCAACCUGCCCCGGACUCUGGGAUAAGCGCUGGAAACGGCGUCUAAUACCGGAUACGAGAUUCCACCGCAUGGUGAGUUUCUGGAAAGAUUUUUUGGUCUGGGAUGGGCUCACGGCCUAUCAGCUUGUUGGUGAGGUAAUGGCUCACCAAGGCGUCGACGGGUAGCCGGCCUGAGAGGGUGACCGGCCACACUGGGACUGAGACACGGCCCAGACUCCUACGGGAGGCAGCAGUGGGGAAUAUUGCACAAUGGGCGGAAGCCUGAUGCAGCAACGCCGCGUGAGGGAUGACGGCCUUCGGGUUGUAAACCUCUUUUAGCAGGGAAGAAGCGAAAGUGACGGUGCCUGCAGAAAAAGCGCCGGCUAACUACGUGCCAGCAGCCGCAGUAACAC